GAUGAACGCUGGCGGCGUGCCUAAUACAUGCAAGUCGAACGCAUAGCGAAAGGUGCUUGCACCUUUCAAGUGAGUGGCGAACGGGUGAGUAACACGUGGACAACCUGCCUCAAGGCUGGGGAUAACAUUUGGAAACAGAUGCUAAUACCGAAUAAAACUUAGUGUCGCAUGACACAAAGUUAAAAGGCGCUUCGGCGUCACCUAGAGAUGGAUCCGCGGUGCAUUAGUUAGUUGGUGGGGUAAAGGCCUACCAAGACAAUGAUGCAUAGCCGAGUUGAGAGACUGAUCGGCCACAUUGGGACUGAGACACGGCCCAACCUCCUACGGGAGGCUGCAGUAGGGAAUCUUCCACAAUGGGCGAAAGCCUGAUGGAGCAACGCCGCGUGUGUGAUGAAGGCUUUCGGGUCGUAAAGCACUGUUGUAUGGGAAGAACAGCUAGAAUAGGAAAUGAUUUUAGUUUGACGGUACCAUACCAGAAAGGGACGGCUAAAUACGUG
rnacentral:rRNA from 1 species